CUGGCAGGAAUGCUCAUGAUCUUAACAUCCUGAAGUGUUCAGCCCUCUCUCCAAGCUGCAUGCUAUUCAAGGGCUUGUUGGACUAGGGUCCCUGUGGUCUCAGAAAGAAACAACAUAUGACAUGUAGAAUUUGAGGAUAUUAUUGGAUAUAGCAAGCUCUGAAGAAGAAUCAGCUAUUGACAAAGCUCAACACAUUACCGUUAUCACAGAAACCACUGAUUUUCUACUGGAAAGAUGGAAGAAAAAAGCAAAUGGAAGUUCCUUGCUUGCUGAUUGUUUCAGAGAAAGUGCAUAGGAUUUAAGAUCUCCCUGCUCCCUUUCCGUCUGACUCUCGCAUUUCCUGCAUGAGGCAUCUGCCUUUGGCGGGUUUGUCACAGCACGAUUCACUUGUGAGGUGCUGGAUUCAGAAAUGCUGCAGAUACUUGACCCGCUGAAGAAGUCAAGAAUUCCUGUUUGUCAUGUUUAAUUCCUUCCUGAGCCUGGACUUGGGGGGCAUAUAGAAGAUAACUCUCACUUGGAAUGAUUCAGGAUUUUCAACUUGCCAUUACACUGCGACUACAUCAGUGUUUCUGAAAUCUGGGAAGAAAAUCUCAAGUUCACCAAAAUGGUAAAGGGAAAAAAACUGUUUUGUUUCUGUCAGCAGCUUCAUAAAAAUCACUGUUUAGCAUUAGUAAGAAGAAACAGGUCUCCAUGGCAAGUUAGAACAGUGCUGUCUGCAAGAGAGUGGAACAGUCACAGAAUAAGCCCUGGCUUGUCACAAACUUUUGGUGAACCAAUAAAUGGCCAGUCUUAACUCAUCGUAUUGCAGCUGUUAUGCAAAUAUACCAAUAAGCAGACAGCCAGGCUUGUUUGUGUCUUAGUCACCUUGUGCGUCUGUCCAGUAGAUAGGAAAUGGCUUAAUGAAAUUAGCUACAGACAGACUUUGACUCCUUUAUUUUUUCUUCUUAAUAUGACAUUAACUGCUUGUGAUAAUGUCAAGUUCCUUUUGGUUUUUAGAUGGUGUAAAGGACCUUUAAAUGAGUGAUUCUGUAUAGAUGAAGAGAAGACAGCCUGUGCCUCAAGUCCUGAUGAGAUUUUUGGGUCUGGCUGGACCCCGUGAGAAUUCCCUAGACAGAGUGCAAUUGCAUGGUGACAUUUCUGUAUGGGGUGAAUCACGAGAAAAACAUUCAAAUGCCAAAAUGAUUUUUUUUGUUUUUGAUUGAAAGCCCUUUUCUCAGUUUGAUAAUGUUGGGGAUGGAAACUGGUUAUUCUUCUAUGUGCAAACAGCUUUGGCUGUAUAGCGUGAUAUUUGUGUGCCCUCAAUGUCUCACAGGAUUUAGCUGUGUGGUGAAGUUUUCAUUUAUCAUUUGGUAAGGCCUUGUUUUAAAGUGUCCAUCAUCCAAUCAGGGAAGAUGAGCCUAGUGACUGAAGCCACUAAUUACAAAAUCUGUAUACUGAAUACCUAAGGAUACAGCUUGCAACCAGCCAGCUGAGGGGAAAAUACGUGAUACCAGUCACUAAUCAUAGCCUGCUUAAGAAUGACAUUUCCAGGAAUCAGGAUCAAUUAGCCAAUGAUUCACUAGCCCUAGAAAGAGCUAAAUUCAUAGCAUGCAUUAUUUGUAGUGAGUGUUUUGAUCAGUUCAAUAAGUAUGAAGAGCUGCUUCUUAUUGGCUGCAAGAGAAGGAAGAAAUCAAAGUGAUUCAGUUUUUCACAUAACUCCUUUUUCAGUUAAAUACUGACAUCAAAAGUUUGUCAGACUGAGAUGGGGCCUUUCUCCCCCCAGAUUAAAGAGUUCAGCUUAGAUCAUUUCUAGCCAUGUGUGAUGUACAGUGAAAUGCUAGCCCCACUGAAAUUGGUGACAAAAUUCCCAUUCAUUUAACCUCAUGUCAGAGGAUUGAUUUUUAUUGACACGCUGGGGAGCAAUCAAUUAUUUACCCAUCAGCCUGAGAGAGCAUUUCAAAAGGAUUUAUUUAAGGUGCUGUUCUUUAAGAAUCAGUUAUCCUGAGGCAUGUGAUACCUUAUACAGUUCACUGUGCUUAAAUACCUUCUACUCAAUUAGCUCAUGUUUUUAUUCAAGAGAGGAGAUGGAUAAAUCUCUUCAGCUGGCAAUGCUUUCAGAGUGUGUCAAGCCAAAGGGAACCUAAUUAGAGGGAAGAGAGAGAAAUGUGGAAAUUACUGUUUGCAGAGGGCACUGUAGAGAGGAAACUUUGUUGUGAGAAGCUCUCUCACAUUAAACAUGCUGAGGCUGUACUCCUCCAACCAUAGGAUUAAUGAUGCCAAGCAGACAUUAUACCUGUGUCUCAAGGGUCACAAGCAAACUUCUUCCUUUAUCAUCUGUUUCUCGUUUUACCGGCCACUAAGGUAUUUACUUAGGAAUUAGUAUAUAUCUAGGCUUAAGUAGAUUAAACUAAAAGCAUGCCACUGUUUGCUGUAUACAUCUGCUCUUGUUAGUAGAACUUGUUGCUGCUGGCAUGGAGCAGCUUAAUUAAAGUGAUGGCGUAGUUUUUCUGUGGAAUCAGUUCCUGGUCUCAGUGGGACUCCUCAGACAGCUGUGCACAACUGGCCCCCUUCCUGGUGGCUGCAGAAGAGCAGCCAGGACUCACUGGACUCUGUCACCUCGCCAGUCAGGUGGUCUCUUCUGAAAGGUGAAGGAGAGUGCAAUACUUCCACUUAUGUUAGACCUGCCUGGAUUUUUUUGUUGUUUUUUGGGUUUUUUUUUAAGUUUUCUAUUUAGACUAGCACCAUUCAUCACAUUAAUGACUGUUAACACUGUGAAUUCACUAGUGACUUAGGUGUGGGGUACCUUUGUUGGUGAGUAAGCAAAAGCAGGCAGAAGCCCUGGGAUAAUGAUACAGGUACAACUCAGUAAGCAAUGGAGUUGCAUCUAAUAAAUACUGAAGGAAAGUCUGGAGGCAUCAUCUUUCCUGUCGCCUAUGUGGGUGUUACAGAGCAGUGUUCCAGUGCCCCAAAGUCCUGAGAUGGGUUUCAGAAAAUCCUGUGACUGUCUUGGAAGUCAUGAAAAACUAAAUUAAUAGGGUCAUUUGCCACUUCUGUUCCCUGAGUCUUGAGAUGAUCCUUGGCAACUGUAUUCAGGGGUUCUCCUGCAAUCACACAGGUUAAAAAGCUAAUCUGGAUCAGGAAAUCACUUUGGCUUGUGAAAGACAUUGAGGUUUUCAAAAUAUGUGAUCAGUGCAAAUUCAUACUCGAAAAUAAGUCAAAACCUGGUGGCCCAGGCACUAUGGGAUUUUGAGCAGGGAGCAGAAUUUGAGACUUGCCCAUCCUAAGUAUAUUCCUUAGCCAUGGGGCAUGGAGUUAGUCUUUUCCAAGGGCAAUCCAUCCCAACAGCUAAAUAUAGGCACCUGAAUUACAGGUGUAGUUGCCCAGAGCCCCUUGGGAUAGUCAGCAGAGGGAAGAAAGGCUUCUUCAGGGACUGACAGGAAGAGACACCUUGGGAAUCAACCCAACGUCUCCUUUUCUUCAAUUUUACUGAAUAAUAUAAAUAUUCUAUCCUAGAGAGAGAGUGACUCACUUUUUAAUGGCUUGGGAGCCAGUGGGCGAUCUGAGUCUGACUGACAACACAAUUUCUGAACCUUUCUCUCAGCUCCAGCUUGGACCAGUCACUUGAUGAAAUGACACUGUUUCAAAGGGAAAGCGAAGCAGCUGUCAUUUUUUAAGCACUUUUGGUCUCUCUUCCCUGGGAGGAAAACAAAAUCAACCACAUAGCAACUGGAGUAGUGUGGUUAAAGCAUUUAAUAACACAAAGCUUGUGGUGAAAUUUGAGACCCUGGCUUUCCUUUCUUUCUGAGGCAGAAAGCACAAAUAAGUGGCUAUUUUCUGAGGUCCUUCCAGAAAAGUGCCUUCCUGAGAGGGAGCCGCUGGGCUGGGCUGGGUGGACGCCCGGCAUGGACCAUGCCCCAAGUGCACAGAGGCCCAGCGGCAUGUGCUCUGCAAACCUGUGGUGACACAGUUCUUGUCCCAAAGUAUUUACAGCACACAUCUGAGAUGGGGGAACUCUCCCUUUUGUGGUGACUAAACAGUUUUUGAAGCACUUUUGGCUAGUUGUCAUCAAAGUAUAGUACAGGUUGGCCCAGAAGGAGUGGAAAAAGGCACUGGUGACUGUGGGCUACAUGAAACAGAGCAGGGGGCUGUAAGUGCCUCUAAAUGAUCAAGAAAGGGAAAACAGGGGUGUGACAGACUUAAAGGACCCCUGUUUGGAGUCGCAAGGUAGCACGACAGCAGCCUUGGAGGAAAAAACAAUAUCCCUUGACUGCCUGGCUCACGGGUCUAGAAGCCACCAGGCUGAGCUACCUCCCACUACCUUGUUUGAAUGAACUGUAUAUUUUACCUAUUUUUUGUAUCUCAGAAGCUUCCCCACUAUUUCCUCCUUGGCUAGCAAUAUAGAUAAACUGUGAAGUGGAGCUGGAGAGCAGAGUCUGCAAGGAGGAUGUGUUUGUUUGGAUGAAUACACCUUCCGCGUAUAAAUGCAAUAAAGGAUAAAACUCUACAUAAAUUCACUUGCUGACUGUUUUGCUCCGGUGUCACGGGCCAAGAACAAUCACCCAAACUCAUCCGUGUGUGAAAAUUGUAAUACUGGAAAAGGCUCUUGUGUUUGCUAUCCAUGGCAUUUCUUUAAAAUGACUUUCCUCUGUAAGUGGAUACAGAAAUAACUCUUCAGAUUAUGGAUUGGAGCAAGGAGUUGUAUUUGUUUAGUAGUGUAGCUGCAUUGAUUGGCAUCCCCCAGCUCAGGAGAAAUGUUUUUAACCAGCCAGAACAACAAAUACCGUUGCAAAACCUACAUGGGCUACACUGAGAGCAUUCAAAUGUAAAAACAGCUAGGUGUUUCAGGAGCCAAAACGUGAUUAUUUUUAAAUGGCUGUGGUUAGGAAUGGUUGUUAUUAUUUAUUGUUUGAACAUAGCAGCACCUACUGGCUCCAGCCAGAAAUAAGGACUUCACCACAGUAGGUGUAAAAUAGAGUAAAAAGAGGGUUUCUUCUCCCUGAGUGGCCUGAGUCUACAUAGGAGGCAAGAGGCAGGUUCAGAGGAAGGAGGCCGAGGAGAACAUGCACGGCACCGUGGGAGCAAGGGAGCUGCCGGUGCAGAGCACGGUAAUGGGGUGGGCAGAGUCGGCUGGAGAGCAGCCAUUGCAUUUUCUCAUGGAAAUGAACUGGAUUUUUUUUUAAAUUCUGUUUUGUUAGUGGGAAGUGCUUUCCAAAAAACUCACCUUGCAAAAAACAGAAGCUAAGCUGUUUGUCUGGGCAGUUACCUGGCUGGGAAGGUUGUGCCAAUUUUGCUUCCUGCCUGUAGGACGCAGACACCCUGGCCACGAUCUCUCCCACCCAGCCCCGCUGGCAAAAGGCCAGAAGCAAAAGCAGGUACCGGUGUUCCCCCUCUCUUCUGUCUGCCUGGCCACGCUCCCCAAGAGCCAGGACUCUACCUUGCCUUCCCAGAAACCAGGAUUUGCAGAGAAAUUUGGGCAUUGUAGAGGUGAGGAGGCAGGUGCACAGCCUCCCCAUUUUUUUCUGAACUUGGCUGAAAAUACUUUCGUUUUCUGGAAAGCUGUUGGCCAUUCAUCUUCUCCCCCUUAGAAAAUAACAUUGAACUUGCCACAAGAGUUUCACUUUUCUUUUUUUUUUCUCUCUCCAACAGAGAAUGGAAAUUCUCUGCAACACUGAUUCUUUUCCCCAUAUAGUUUGUUUGUUUUUUGCCAAAAGAGCAUUUUUUUUGUUUGGAGAAUCAUUCUGAUGGAAAUCUUUGUGGCCAUAGUGGUAAAAAUGCAAAGUCAAGAAAAUGAUUUUUGCAGCAAUGCCUUAAAUAGAUAAGAGAAGGUCAAGAAGAGCUUUGUCUAGGCCAAGAAUCAGGGAAAACAAGAAAUAGUUAAAAUUUCUAUUCAGUUCCAUUUUAAGAUCUCUCUUUUAGAGCUGUCUCUAUAUAAUGGCUCAGAAAUGUCCAGGGAAGUUCUGUCAUUUCUGGUUUCCAUCUCAGACUGAAACUGAAACAAGCAAACAAUCUUACAAGAAGCCUUGUUCUUUUGAAGAGAUUUCCAAUUUCCUAUGUUUUCAUCCUCGUGAGGUUUAGAUAAAAUAUCCAGAUUUUUCCUUUUUUAAACUGAAGCCAGACUCAAAACCUGCUGAGGCCUUCCCAUCACUAAUUAGAGCAUGUAGGCAAAAUUAUUUGCUAUGAAGGUGAAGUGUAGUGUUAAAUUAAAAUCAGAUGCAUCACGAACAACUCUCUUUUUAGCCCAUUGCUGGCAGGAUGCAAGCUGUGUGGUGUGGGGCUUGCCUGCCAUCCAGGGAGUGAUGGCUGUGUGUGCUGUGCUCCUUCCCUACUACUCUGGCCCUUUUCAGGCAGCAGUCAAGGUUUCUUGGCUGUAGCUGGAGCCACAAUACUUUGCCUAGUUGGACUUCCACUUCUUCCAUUAAUCAAAUGUAUUUUCCUCACAGUAGCUGUAAGCAAAGCCCAGUGUCAGAGAGAGCUGGUACAGAUGCUCCAGAGAUGAAACACCAGGGACCUCGCUUGGCAGCCAGCCCAGUAUUUUAUUAAACACCACAUUAGAGCGUUCAUUGACUGCAUGUAUGGUUCACUUGAGGGAAAGCCAAGCACCACUCUUGUAUCUCCACCCUGAAGCCAGCCACUUAUGAAUCAAGGUGGGCACCUUGUUGUCUACGACUUGCCUGCAAGCUGUAUGGAGAUAGAACUAGGAAUAUUGUUGAACCCUUUCUAAAACACUGAACAGCAGGUUUCCAUGCCAAGAGCUGGUCUGGUUGGUCCCUGGAUGGUGAGAGCUCUCAGGGUGGGCUGGUGCCCCUCUCCAUUGGGUAGGCCCAUUGUGAAAGCUGGUGGCUUCAGCUCUGGAGGGUCGGUGGGAGGUGAUUUGUCUCUUGAGCUUCCCACUAUAGCUGUUCCCAUUAUGAAGUGUCACAUGUCACACAAAACAAUGUGUUUUGCUUUUGCAUCUGUGCUCUACUCAGAUAGCCAGUGCUUUGGGGGCAGAAGAAGGUAGCAGUCCAGUCUAUUUUUUUCAUCUCAGGAACAUUACAAUAGCUCUUUCGAUUUAAUGAGACAAACUGGGUGCACUGGUUCCCCCUAGUUUGAGAGUUAUACUCUUAUCUGAAAACACAGCAGUCUGAUUUUAAUCUAAUUUCUUUGUCACUAAAUUAAACUUGGUUUGUACCAUUUAA